GCGAUUGUGGUGGAAUUGGUAGACACGCCAUCUUGAGGGGGUGGUGGCGCAAGCCGUGAGGGUUCAAGUCCCUCCAAUCGCACCA
rnacentral:tRNA from 3 species